GUGACAGUCCCCUUUAUGAUGGUCAUUAUGUUAGAGUUUAAAUUCGGGCCAGAUUACUCCCCUCCCAGACAGCAUAGACUUUGGAGAGCUGCGAGGGCUCUGAGCUCCGUUCUUCUGUGGCUGAGGCUGGGCACUCGGAGUGGCCACCAGGUCAGAACAUCCUCCCCGGGCCAGCUCCUCUUCAGACACCAUGAGUUCUCCUCUGUAACUUGGCACGAUGAUUCGGUGACUAAUGUCAUUGCCAGCAGAGUGAUCGAAUGAGGGGAGAUGUGAUUUCCAUCACGUUACACCAUUUAUUUAGAGAAAUG
rnacentral:lncRNA from 1 species